rnacentral:rRNA from 1 species
GAUGAACGCUGGCGGCGUGCCUAAUACAUGCAAGUCGAGCGAACGGACGAGAAGCUUGCUUCUCUGAUGUUAGCGGCGGACGGGUGAGUAACACGUGGAUAACCUACCUAUAAGACUGGGAUAACUUCGGGAAACCGGAGCUAAUACCGGAUAAUAUUUUGAACCGCAUGGUUCAAAAGUUAAAGACGGUCUUGCUGUCACUUAUAGAUGGAUCCGCGCUGCAUUAGCUAGUUGGUAAGGUAACGGCGUACCAAGGCAACGAUGCAUAGCCGACCUGAGAGGGUGAUCGGCCACACUGGAACUGAGACACGGUCCAGACUCCUACGGGAGGCAGCAGUAGGGAAUCUUCCGCAAUGGGCGAAAGCCUGACGGAGCAACGCCGCGUGAGUGAUGAAGGUCUUCGGAUCGUAAAACUCUGUUAUUAGGGAAGAACAUAUGUGUAAGUAACUGUGCACAUCUUGACGGUACCUAAUCAGAAAGCCACGGCUAACUACGUG